rnacentral:rRNA from 1 species
GACGAACGCUGGCGGCGUGCUUAACACAUGCAAGUCGAACGGAAAGGCCCUGCUUUUGUGGGGUGCUCGAGUGGCGAACGGGUGAGUAACACGUGAGUAACCUGCCUUUGACUUUGGUAUAACUUCAGGAAACUGGGUCUAAUACCGGAUAGGAGCUCCUGCUGCAUGGUGGGGGUUGGAAAGUUUCGGCGGUUGGGGAUGGACUCGCGGCUUAUCAGCUUGUUGGUGGGGUAGUGGCUUACCAAGGCUUUGACGGGUAGCCGGCCUGAGAGGGUGACCGGCCACAUUGGGACUGAGAUACGGCCCAGACUCCUACGGGAGGCAGCAGUGGGGAAUAUUGCACAAUGGGCGGAAGCCUGAUGCAGCAACGCCGCGUGCGGGAUGACGGCCUUCGGGUUGUAAACCGCUUUCGCCUGUGACGAAGCGUGAGUGACGGUAAUGGGUAAAGAAGCACCGGCUAACUACGUG